UUGCCAAGGUAUAAGACAUUUUGAAAGGGCACCAUAGUCCCCUGUGACCUAUUUUACCAUGGAGUUCAAGGGACAUGAUAAUAUCCCCUGUAAUUUCUUUAACAUUAGAACAGACUCCAAAAAAUGAUUAUUAUGUACCUAGAAGGUAAACAUAUCAAUCUCUUAUUUUUUUACUAUUGUGUAAUAUUUAGAUAGAACUUGGAAAGAAGUCAAACUGUUAACUAACUUUGAUUAAGCAUGCAUUUUUUUUAAGCUAAAUUGGUCCAUGUCCUGGUUAAGGGGCAUGGAAGAAGGUGGGAUCGGGAGAUCCCAGCAGGAUCAAGAACAGAGAAUAGCCAAACGAAAGGAAACACAUGAACUAUGAGACAAAGGCUAAGGGGCCCUCAACUGGAUCAGGCCCUCUGAAGAGAUGCACUGAACUCCUAUCUUACAUGGAACCUGUGCUCAAUGAACACUGGGCCAUUUUUAAGUCUCAAGGGGAGCCUUGUUCACUGAGGAUGAGUCUGUUCCUGCUGAGAGAAGGAAGCCAGAAGUGGUCCUUGGCACUGGUGCUCUGGUAACGCCAUUACAGUUGCAAUACCUUUGGCUUUUCUAUACUGGUUCUGGUGUUCAGCAAUAUCCUUGGAAACAGCUGCUGAUUCUUCUUUCAGUAAUUCUAGCAUGCUCCAAACAAGAUGAAAAACUAUAGACAGUUAAUGCUUGAUGGAAGAAGGAGAACCGGUUUUCUCCAGGGAUGAGGCCACUGACAGAUUCUCCAAUCCCAGGAAUGUCAGAAGCCACAGCCCCGAAGUCUCACCAACAUGGCUGUCUAAACAUGAGCUGAGGAAGGCGACAGACACGCUAGCAUGCCGAGUGGGGAGCGCAUGAGGCUGCAACCUCACAUAAAGUGCUACGGGAAUGCAGAGAGUGUGAGAAAUCAUCUUCCGCAGAAAUUUUAAGACUUCAAUGUCUUCUCUUUUUCUAAAUGCAAAUGUACUGCAAGUUCUGUUACAAAUUUAUUUGUUUUGAAUGUAAUGUAAUUGACGUUUGAAAAACCUAAUAUUAGAUAAUGAAACUAUCUUUUGUUUUCAUAUAAUUUUUUUUAUUUUUUAAAACACUGAUCAGUUGUCUGAAUAUUUGCCAACAUCAAAAAUUACUUAUUAAUCACAGAACAAUGCAUUCAUAAACAACCAAUAAUCAGUUAAUUAUUUAAUUAAUGAAAUUAUUUACCAUCCAAAGUACUACAGUGUCAUCCAUCAUACUUAAAAAUGUGAGAAAAAUAUCAGGAACAUUUCUCUAUAUAUAAUCUUCUAGUUUUGAUAACAUUAUAAGAAUAUAUAUGAAUUAAAUCUAAGUUGGCCUUUAAUCCCAGCACUUGGGAGGCAGAGGCAGGCGGAUCUUUGUGAGUUAGAGGCCAGCCUGGACUACAGAGUGAGUUCCAGGAAAGGCACCAAUGCUACACAGAGAAACCCUGUCUCCAAAAACCAAAAAAAGGGAAAAAUAAUAAAUCUACAGUUAUUUUAUAUUAAUAGGAAGUGGUUUCUUCAGACAUGUAAUGUAAAUUAAAAUCUAGGAAUCACUGUAUUUUUACAGAUACAUAUUAAUUAUUAGUAGAUUUCUUUCCUAUUGUAAAGAUUUGUGCAGAAUAUAAAACUUUAUCUUAUGGUCUCUAAUAUUUUAAAUUUGGUUAAAAUUUUGAAAUAUUAUUCAAUUACUUUCUUCUUAAAAUUUUAAUUAAAAUAUAAUUGCAUUAUUCAGUUCCUUUCAUGCUCCUGUUUAUUCCCUUUCAAAUCCAUAGCCACUUUUAAUUUUAUUAUUAUUGUUACAUAUAUGUGUGCAUAUACACGCAUAUAAAUAUAUAAAUUCAAUCUAGUGAGUUUGUUUUCUGUUGCUUAUGUAUAUAAAAUUUCAGAGUUGACCAUAUGAUAUUCGAUAACAUUUAGAGAGCUCAUUCCUAAGAAAGGCUAAUUCUCUCUCUUUCAGCAAUCACAAGUUGUCUGUACUUUUUUCCUAAGAGUGGGGUCUCAUGAGAUUCUCAUCUUCAACAUUAGCGUGUCUUUUGAUAUGAUGAUUGCUCAGGCAGUUUUAUUUUUUGAGUAUAAUGUGUGUAGCUUUCAUGUUGUUUCUAGGAGACACAAUCUGACAGCAGACUUUCUGUGUUCUGGCUCUUACAAUCUUUUUCCCACCUCUUCCAACAUGCUCUCCAAGUCUUAGAUGCAAGAGUUGUGUUAUAGGUGUAUCUGUUGAGAUGGUAAAUUCACAAUUAAUUGUUCUCUGCAUUUAACCAUUGCAUUGUGGUUUUCUAUAAUGGUCUCUAUUUGCUGCAAAGAGAAGUUUCUUUAAUGAGGUGUAAAAGCUUCGAAUGUAGUAAGAAGUUACAAUGCUUUAGGAAAGUGGCAGUAGUUCAUUCUCUAAGAUCCAUGGCCUAAUUGGCUACAUUCACAAUACCAGGCAUAAUUUCCCUCCUUUAAGCAGGCCUUAAAUCCAAUUUGAUAUCUGUUGGUUACCACUAGGCUGUGUGUACCACUACAGCACAUUUAAAGAUAUCUUACCAUGCUGUAACUGUUGUGGUUCAUAGAUGUCACAGUUGGGUAGGACAACUGAUUGCUGUCCACUUUGGGUGGCUAGGAUUUCACAUUCUUGUGUGAUGAAGGCUGGAUGUCAGAGAGUGGGCUGUCAUAACCAUCUCCAAUUGUUAGAAUAGUGUUAUUUUUCAAUCAUCUAGAGUUACACUCUUCAUUCAAACUAAGAGUAUGAAAGGGAAAUAUAAUAUUUAGCUAUAUUUACUAUGACUUGUGAAUGAAUAAAUUAUUUUUUCAUUUUUGUUAAUUUUAAAUACAAGAAUUUGUCAAUCAGUUGAAUUAAACUUAGCAUAAAAAACAAGUGCUGUUUCUAAUGAAAACUGGCAUUUUGACUUCAGUAGAUGCCAAGGGAAAAUGAAAAGACAAGUUCUUUAAAACUGUGCUAAUGUUGUUAUGUCAGUUAGUAUUAAAUUAGAUAUGCCAAUGACAAAUUGUAUGGAUCACCUGGGAAUAAUAAAGAAGGUAGGAACAAGAAUAUGUUGGAAAAAAAAAAAAACAGGCAUUGGGUAGGAAAAGCUAAGCUGCAGACCACAAUGCACUUCUGGAAAAAUCUUAGCCAGACAAAUGGGGAACAUCCAAGCACAGCUGCUUUAGAGGCAUUCCAAGCCUACAGGAAUGGCCAAGCUCAGUCUCAGUGUUUUCUCUAUUCCCAGUUAUUGGUGGGAGCCAUGUAAGUUGGGUGUGGCCACAGGUGAGCAUAAAAAAAAAACCUAUCAUAAAAGAUGACCAUAGAAAAUUGGCAUCCCAUCAGCCAAUUUUACUUCUUAUAUGUCCUUUGAGGGAAGCUCUGAACUGGGAACCAUAAUGUCAUCUUUAAGCCCAGGGAAUCAUUUCAGAACUGUGUCGACCAGGAACAUUCUGAACUGAAACUUCAGUUCAUCAUUUUACUUAUAAAUGUGUAAAUGUCAAAUAUGUAAUUAAAAAUCCCAUUCAAGUGCUGCAGUGAUUUGAAGCCAUGAAGUGCUGAGACCACAACUAUGAAUAGAAUUGCUUUGCUAACUUAGGACUUCUCCAACACACUUUAUCCCUCCUUUCAGUCUUGAAGUUACUCACCUUACACACACACUUUUCAUACUCUUCCUCCGUAGUUGCAUCUCUAUCUAUUCUCUAAAUCAGCAAUCUUGUAGGGAGAAGAGUUGCAAAUUACAAAAAGAAAGAAAGAAAAUUCCCACAAUAAUCUCUAAAGCAUGUAUCUAAUAAUUGAUGGAUGUUUUCCAAAAUUAGUGUGCAAGGGGACAUCCACAUUGACGCUUCCUUCAGAAUGCCAGUUAAGGGCAGGGAGGCAGGCGGGGGGGCGGGGGGUGGUUGCAAACUUCUUCAUUUCAAGCACUACUCUUUCUGGUUUGACUCCAUAGGAAACUUUUCACUGUCAUGUCGCAGUGAUUUUGACCUCUCUUAUGCAUAUAGUCUAUCUCAGGAUGCAGUCCAUUAGUCAGAGAUUAUCCCAUUAGCAUUGGCAAACUUGCAUUUGACUUAAUAUGCUAAUACAGGCUACUGUUAUAAGGUUAUUAACCAAUUCUAAUGUCAUUAGCAUCCACUAAGUAAAAUAAUUCAAUGCAUAUAAAUUGUUGUCUACUUAAUUAACGGAUGAUGCAGACACACCUUGCCCCCCUUUUCUCUUCUACUUAUUCAACUAUAAUAGCCUUACAGUCUGUUCAAAUUUCAGAGUUUCCUGCAUCAAUUAGACAACUUGUGCAUGUUACCUACUUUCUGACCAUUAUCUAUAUAUUUGAAGUUUUCUGGUUCCUUCACAUCAGGAAUCCUAAGCUUAAUUCUGAUUCUGUAAUACAUUGGGGUUGUACCAUUACUUUUAUAGAGUUUAAUUUAAUUCCAUAAAAAUAAUUCAAAGCCAUUUAAUUCAACAUGACUUCUGACAAACACAUUCUGUCAUAUAAUUCUGUUGCCACAAACAAAACAAUGAAAGGGGAAUAUGAAAUUUUUACAAAAACAAUGAUAAUUUGUGCACUGGCAAAAUAUUAUUCAUAUUUGAAAGAUUUAAAAAAUUUUCAACCUCAAAAAGAGCAUUCAAAUAGUUCUCUCUUUUGUUCAGUGCUUGAAAGUCAGUUGUUUUUGGUUGACAAGAAAGUUAAUUAUUGGUAUGUCUGCUUUGACUUUUAUGAAUAUGCCGUAAUUUGCUAUGAAGCACCUGAUGUGAAUGGCAAGCUUUGAUAGCAUUUAAGACUUUUACAGUUUAAAGAAACUUUGUGGUCUAACUCAAUGCAAUUUAAAUGAAGAUGUUCAUAUUUUUCUAGUAUUUUUCCUUUCUGGCCAUGCUCUGGAGAGUAUGAACACCAUUUUAUUCCAAAAUCAUAUUUCAGUAUCCUACUUUGCAUGAGGUAUUAUGUUCAUAGUUUCUAUGGAAAUCUUGACAUGUACAACACAUUUUUCUCUUGAAUAAUUUCAUACUGAUCUUUGCUAACAUAGGGAGAAAACCACAUAACCAAGCACAAAGUUGCUUGAAACGUUAGAGUAUAAAUGCAGAAGGGAUUUAAAACAAUUAAAAAUGGAGAAACCAAAGGGUGUAUUAUUUAACAUGACAGACACUUGACAUUGCAUCUUACAGAAAUUAAAAGACUAUCCUAGCUAUUGCUUAACCCAAUAACAUCCACAGGCCAAUUUGUAACACAGCAAAGAAAGAGAUUUUUUUUU